AGCAGCCGCGGUAAUUCCAGCUCCAAUAGCGUAUAUUAAAGUUGUUGCAGUUAAAAAGCUCGUAGUUGAAUUUCGGGAUCAAUACGUCGGUCGUGCUUUCGGGUACGUACUGGUGUCAUUGGUUUCUCCUUUCUGACGAGCCGUGAUGUCAUUAAUUUGGUGUUACGGGUAGUUAGGACUGUUACUUUGAAAAAAUUAGAGUGUUUAAAGCAGGCAUUAGCUUGAAUACAUUAGCAUGGAAUAAUGAAAUAGGACGUUCGAUCCUAUUUUGUUGGCUUCUAGGAUCAACGUAAUGAUUAAUAGGGAUAGUUGGGGGCAUUAGUAUUCAAUUGUCAGAGGUGAAAUUCUUGGAUUUAUUGAAGACUAACUACUGCGAAAGCAUUUGCCAAGGAUGUUUUCAUUAAUCAAGAACGAAAGUUAGGGGAUCGAAGACGAUCAGAUACCGUCGUAGUCUUAACCAUAAACUAUGCCGACUAGGGAUCGGAUGAUGUUAAUUUUUUCAAUGACUCAUUCGGCGCCU
rnacentral:rRNA from 1 species